UACAGGGGGGGCAAGCGUUGUUCGGAAUUACUGGGCGUAAAGGGCCAGUAGGCGGCCAACUAAGUCACACGUGAAAUCCCCAGGCUUAACCUGGGAACUGCGUGUGAUACUGGAUGGCUUGAAUUCGGGAGAGGGAUGCAGAAUUCCAGGUGUAGCGGUGAAAUGCGUAGAUAUUGGGAGGAACACCAGUGGCGAAGGCGGCUCACUGGACCGGUACUGACGCUGAUGCGCGAAAGCGUGGGGAGCAAACGGG
rnacentral:rRNA from 1 species